rnacentral:rRNA from 1 species
AGAAAUGGAUGGAUCUUCCGUGCAGUUCUCGUCUGGUUUCGUACUGAAGCUAAGCAGGGUUGAGUCUGGACAGUACCUGGAUGGGAGACCACCUGGGGAAAUUAAGGUUUCUGCUG